GACGAACGCUGGCGGCGUGCUUAACACAUGCAAGUCGAACGGAAAGGCCCUGCUUUUGUGGGGUGCUCGAGUGGCGAACGGGUGAGUAACACGUGAGUAACCUGCCCUUGACUUUGGGAUAACUUCAGGAAACUGGGGCUAAUACCGUAUAGGAGCUCCUGCUGCAUGGUGGGGGUUGGAAAGUUUCGGCGGUUGGGGAUGGACUCGCGGCUUAUCAGCUUGUUGGUGGGGUAGUGGCUUACCAAGGCUUUGACGGGUAGCCGGCCUGUGAGGGUGACCGGCCACAUUGGGACUGAGAUACGGCGCAGACUCCUACGGGAGGCAGCAGGGGGGAAUAUUGCACAAUGGGCGGAAGCCUGAUGAAGCAACGCCGCGUGCGGGAUGACGGCCUUCGGGUUGUAAAACGCUUUAGCCUGUGACGAAGCGUGAGUGACGGUAAUGGGUAAAGAAGCACCGGCUAACUACGUG
rnacentral:rRNA from 1 species